rnacentral:rRNA from 1 species
GAUGAACGCUGGCGGCGUGCCUAAUACAUGCAAGUCGAGCGAACAGACGAGGAGCUUGCUCCUCUGACGUUAGCGGCGGACGGGUGAGUAACACGUGGAUAACCUACCUAUAAGACUGGGAUAACUUCGGGAAACCGGAGCUAAUACCGGAUAAUAUAUUGAACCGCAUGGUUCAAUAGUGAAAGACGGUUUUGCUGUCACUUAUAGAUGGAUCCGCGCCGCAUUAGCUAGUUUGUAAGGUAACGGCUUACCAAGGCAACGAUGCGUAGCCGACCUGAGAGGGUGAACGGCCACACUGGAACUGAGACACGGUCCAGACUCCGACGGGAGGCAGCAGUAGGGAAUCUUCCGCAAUGGGCGAAAGCCUGACGGAGCAACGCCGAGUGAGUGAUGAAGGUCUUCGGAUCGUAAAACUCUGUUAUUAGGGAAGAACAAAUGUGUAAGUAACUAUGCACGUCUUGACGGUACCUAAUCAGAAAGCCACGGCUAACUACGUG